rnacentral:rRNA from 1 species
CCCUUAGACGUUCUGGGCCGCACGCGCGCUACACUGACGAAGGCAACGAGCUUUCCUUUACCGAAAGGUACGGGUAAUCUUUUGAAACUUCGUCGUGCUGGGGAUAGAUCCUUGUAAUUUUUGAUCUUAAACGAGGAAUGCCUAGUAAGCGCAAGUCAUCAACUUGCGUUGAUUACGUCCCUGCCCUUUGUACACACCGCCCGUCGCUACUACCGAUUGAAUGGUUUAGUGAGGCCUUCGGAUCCGCGACUCGUUUUGUGGAGAAGUUGGACAAACUCAGUCAUUUAGAGGAAGUAAAAGUCGUAACA